UACAGAGGGUGCAAGCGUUUUUCGGAAUUAUUGCGCGUAAAGCGCGUGUAGGCGGUUCGUUAAGUCUGGUGUGAAAGCCCAGGGCUCAACCCUGGAAGUGCACUAGAUACUGGUGAACUAGAGGACGGGAGAGGGUAGUGGAAUUCCUGGUGUACCGGUGAAAUGGGUAGAUAUCAGGAAGAACAUCGGUGGCAAAGGCGGCUACCUGGUCCGUAUCUGACGCUGAGAAGCGAAAGCGCGGCAAGCAAACAGG
rnacentral:rRNA from 1 species